CGUGUAGGCGGUCGGGUAAGUCAGAUGUGAAAGCCUUCUGCUUAACAGAAGAAGUGCAUUUGAAACUGCUCGGCUGGAGUACGGGAGAGGAGAGUGGAAUUCCCGGUGUAGAGGUGAAAUUCGUAGAUAUCGGGAGGAACACCAGUGGCGAAGGCGGCUCUCUGGUCCGAUACUGACGCUGAGACGCGAAAGCGUGGGGAGCAAACAGGAUUAGAUACCCUGGUAGUCCACGCCGUAAACGAUGGGCACUAGGUGUAGGAGGUAUUGACCCCUUCUGUGCCGAAGCUAGCGCAUUAAGUGCCCCGCCUGGGGAGUACGGCCGCAAGGCUAAA
rnacentral:rRNA from 1 species